UACAGGGGGGGGCAAGCGUUGUUCGGAAUUACUGGGCGUAAAGGGCGCGUAGGCGGCCUGCUAAGUCGGACGUGAAAUCCCUCGGCUCAACCGGGGAACUGCGUCCGAUACUGGCGAGGCUUGAAUCCGGGAGAGGGAUGUGGAAUUCCAGGUGUAGCGGUGAAAUGCGUAGAUAUCUGGAGGAGCACCAGUGGCGAAGGCGGCAUCCUGGACCGGUAUUGACGCUGAGGCGCGAAAGCUAGGGUAGCAAACGGG
rnacentral:rRNA from 1 species